rnacentral:misc_RNA from 1 species
UGUGUUGAACGUGAGGUCUUGUCAACACAUUGUGAUUGAGGUCAAAGCGUAAAGGAUCCUCUGUUUUACAAUAUGUCUAACAGUGAUAAUAGAUGUGUUGAACGCGAGGUCUCGUCAACACAUUGUGAUUGAGGUCAAAGCAUAAACGAUAUCCUCUGUUUUACAACAAAUAUGUCUAACAGUGACCAUAGAUGUGUUGAACGUGAGGUCUUGUCAACACAUUGUGAAACCAACCGUGAUAUGAAAGAACAAACGUCAACACAUUCUUGUGAGAAACCUUUCAAAUGUGGGAUGUGUUUAAAGUGUUUCUCCUGCAGGAGCAAGGUCAUGCGGCAUAUGUUAACCCACACCCUAGAAAGACCAUAUCGGUGUAAGGUGUGCAAAAUGUCUUUCCAUCUGAGUACGUAUUUAAAGCAACAUACGAGGAUUCACUUGGGAGUCAAGAAUUUCAAAUGCGAGGUGUGUGAAAAAUAUUUUUGUCAGAGUUCCACGUUGAAAAAUCAUUCUGAAGACAGCCCUGACCUGAAAGUGCGAACGUCAACAUAUUCUUGCGAGAAGCCUUUCCAAUGUGGGAUGUGUUUAAAGUAUUUCUCUUACAGGAGUACGAUUAAGCGCCAUAUGUUGUCCCACACUGGUGAAAGACCAUAUCAGUGUGAGGUGUGCAGAAAGUCUUUUCAUCUGAGUAAAUACUUGAAGCUACAUUUGUUGAUUCACACUGGAGUCAAGAAUUUCAAAUGUGAAUUGUGCAAAACUUAUUUUUAUCAGAGUUCUACGUUGAAAAAUCAUUGUGAAAACAACCCUGAUCUGGAAGGACAAACGUCAACAGAUUCUUGUGAGAAACCUUUCCAGUGUGGGGUGUGUUUAAAGUAUUUCUCUUACAGAAGUAAGAUUGAGCGGCAUAUGUUAACCCACACUUUUGAAAGGCCAUAUCAGUGUAAGGUGUGCAGGAAGUCUUUUCAUCUGAGUAAAUACUUGAAAGAGCAUAUUGUAAUUCACUCUGGAGUGAAGAAUUUCAAAUGUGAGGUGUGUGCAAAACAUUUUUUUCAGAGUUCCACGUUGAAAAAUCAUAUGAUGAUUCACUCUGCCAAACGCUUUAAAUGUGAAGCAUGUGCGAAAAUGUUCUGUAGAAAAGCUGACUUGAAGACACAUACGUUGGUUCACACUGGCGUUAAGAAUUUCAAAUGUGGCGUAUGUGCAAAACUGUUUGCUAAGAUCUCCGGUUUCAAGCAGCAUAUGUUAAUUCACAAUGCCGUUAAACAUCUCAAAUGUGAGGUGUGUACGGAGCGUUUCUCUCGGAAGCAAGAGCUGAAAAAACACACGCUGAUGCACGCUGGUGUCAAAAUGUUCAAAUGUGAGACAUGUGCAAAAUUGUUCUCACGGGAAUCGUUCUUGAAGGACCAUAUGUUGGUUCACACUGGUGAGAAACGUCUGAAACCUUUCAAAUGCGAGCAAUGUGCAAAGUGUUUUCAACGCAAUUGCCAAUUGAAAGAACAUAAGUUGACUCACUCCAGUGUUAAAUCUUACAAGUGUGAAACAUGUGCUAAAUGCUUCUGGAUACACGUUGUGACAGUACAGAUUGUCCUGUAUACAAAGACCAGAAUGAACGCCUUGUUGAUUUCGUUUUUAGUGAUAGCUGCUGUUCUGAUAGAGUCUACAUAUGCAAAAGGACCUGACCCGGUCUGCACAGUUUGUACCAACUCUGCAGUAACCUCGUAUUGUAGAUGUGGUUACAAGCUUGACGACGAUGGAUGUCCUACUGGUGACUGUAAGACGUGUUCAGGUGAAAUUUCCAUUCAGCCGUCUGCACAGUUUGUACCAACUCUCCAGUAACCUCGUAUUGUAGAUGUGGUUACAAGCUUGACGACGAUGGAUGUCCUACUGGUGACUGUAAGACGUGUUCAGUUCACAAUGAAAUCUGCAGAAAACGAAAUUGUCACUUCACCUAUGAACACGGCUUCUGUCAUAUCCCUAACACAGGAUGUACGGUUUGUGACUGUCGAGAAUAGCGUAAUGACAACCUACCAAGCUGAUUUGAUCAAGGAGACACUGGAGUUAGAUAACCAGUGUAUUGUUUGAUCGUUUAAUAAAAAUGAAACGUC